GUGUUUGUUAUAGACUGCGCAGUGCAGUAUAGACAUUCGUUGACGUUGUAAACAGUUUUACGGUUCACGGUGUAAAGAAGGAGAGGUUAGGGCGGGUAAAACCAUCGCUGGCCACCCCCGCACCCAGAUUCAAUAAUGAUCCUUCCGCAGGUUCACCUACGGAAA
rnacentral:misc_RNA from 1 species